rnacentral:rRNA from 1 species
AUGCAACGCGAAGAACCUUACCAAGGCUUGACAUACUACAGAUUUCUUUGAAAGAGGAAAGUGCCUUCGGGAAUGUAGAUACAGGUGGUGCAUGGCUGUCGUCAGCUCGUGUCGUGAGAUGUUGGGUUAAGUCCCGCAACGAGCGCAACCCUUAUUUUUAGUUACUAAUUUAUUUUAGGUUUUCUAGAAAGACUGCCGGUGACAAACCGGAGGAAGGUGAGGAUGACGUCAAGUCAGCAUGCCCCUUAUGCCUUGGGCUACACACGUGCUACAAUGGUUAAGACAAAGAGUUGCGAGCUCGCGAGAGUCAGCCAAUCUCAUAAACUUAGCCUAAGUUCGGAUUGUAGGCUGCAACUCGCCUGCAUGAAGUCGGAAUCGCUAGUAAUCGCUGGUCAGCCAUACAGCGGUGAAUCCGUUCCCGGGCCUUGUACACACCGCCCGUCAC